rnacentral:rRNA from 1 species
UACAGAGGGGGGCAAGCGUUAUUCGGAAUUAUUGGGCGUAAAGGGCGCGUAGGCGGCUUGGCAAGUGGAUGGUGAAAUCCCUCGGCUUAACCGAGGAACUGCCGUCCAAACUGCUUCGCUUGAGACCGGGAGAGGUGAGUGGAAUUCCCAGUGUAGCGGUGAAAUGCGUAGAUAUUGGGAGGAACACCAGUGGCGAAGGCGGCUCACUGGACCGGUACUGACGCGUGAUGCGCGGAAAGCAGUGGGGAGCAAA